UGUGAGCUCGAUGAGUAGGGCGGGACACGUGGUAUCCUGUCUGAAUAUGGGGGGACCAUCCUCCAAGGCUAAAUACUCCUGACUGACCGAUAGUGAACCAGUACCGUGAGGGAAAGGCGAAAAGAACCCCGGCGAGGGGAGUGAAAAAGAACCUGAAACCGUGUACGUACAAGCAGUGGGAGCACGCUUAGGCGUGUGACUGCGUACCUUUUGUAUAAUGGGUCAGCGACUUAUAUUCUGUAGCAAGGUUAACCGAAUAGGGGAGCCGAAGGGAAACCGAGUCUUAACUGGGCGUUAAGUUGCAGGGUAUAGACCCGAAACCCGGUGAUCUAGCCAUGGGCAGGUUGAAGGUUGGGUAACACUAACUGGAGGACCGAACCGACUAAUGUUGAAAAAUUAGCGGAUGACUUGUGGCUGGGGGUGAAAGGCCAAUCAAACCGGGAGAUAGCUGGUUCUCCCCGAAAGCUAUUUAGGUAGCGCCUCGUGAAUUCAUCUCCGGGGGUAGAGCACUGUUUCGGCAAGGGGGUCAUCCCGACUUACCAACCCGAUGCAAACUGCGAAUACCGGAGAAUGUUAUCACGGGAGACACACGGCGGGUGCUAACGUCCGUCGUGAAGAGGGAAACAACCCAGACCGCCAGCUAAGGUCCCAAAGUCAUGGUUAAGUGGGAAACGAUGUGGGAAGGCCCAGACAGCCAGGAUGUUGGCUUAGAAGCAGCCAUCAUUUAAAGAAAGCGUAAUAGCUCACUGGUCGAGUCGGCCUGCGCGGAAGAUGUAACGGGGCUAAACCAUGCACCGAAGCUGCGGCAGCGACGCUGAUGCGUUGUUGGGUAGGGGAGCGUUCUGUAAGCCUGCGAAGGUGUGCUGUGAGGCAUGCUGGAGGUAUCAGAAGUGCGAAUGCUGACAUAAGUAACGAUAAAGCGGGUGAAAAGCCCGCUCGCCGGAAGACCAAGGGUUCCUGUCCAACGUUAAUCGGGGCAGGGUGAGUCGACCCCUAAGGCGAGGCCGAAAGGCGUAGUCGAUGGGAAACAGGUUAAUAUUCCUGUACUUGGUGUUACUGCGAAGGGGGGACGGAGAAGGCUAUGUUGGCCGGGCGACGGUUGUCCCGGUUUAAGCGUGUAGGCUGGUUUUCCAGGCAAAUCCGGAAAAUCAAGGCUGAGGCGUGAUGACGAGGCACUACGGUGCUGAAGCAACAAAUGCCCUGCUUCCAGGAAAAGCCUCUAAGCAUCAGGUAACAUCAAAUCGUACCCCAAACCGACACAGGUGGUCAGGUAGAGAAUACCAAGGCGCUUGAGAGAACUCGGGUGAAGGAACUAGGCAAAAUGGUGCCGUAACUUCGGGAGAAGGCACGCUGAUAUGUAGGUGAAGUCCCUCGCGGAUGGAGCUGAAAUCAGUCGAAGAUACCAGCUGGCUGCAACUGUUUAUUAAAAACACAGCACUGUGCAAACACGAAAGUGGACGUAUACGGUGUGACGCCUGCCCGGUGCCGGAAGGUUAAUUGAUGGGGUUAGCCGCAAGGCGAAGCUCUUGAUCGAAGCCCCGGUAAACGGCGGCCGUAACUAUAACGGUCCUAAGGUAGCGAAAUUCCUUGUCGGGUAAGUUCCGACCUGCACGAAUGGCGUAAUGAUGGCCAGGCUGUCUCCACCCGAGACUCAGUGAAAUUGAACUCGCUGUGAAGAUGCAGUGUACCCGCGGCAAGACGGAAAGACCCCGUGAACCUUUACUAUAGCUUGACACUGAACAUUGAGCCUUGAUGUGUAGGAUAGGUGGGAGGCUUGGAAGUGUGGACGCCAGUCUGCAUGGAGCCGACCUUGAAAUACCACCCUUUAAUGUUUGAUGUUCUAACGUUGACCCGUAAUCCGGGUUGCGGACAGUGUCUGGUGGGUAGUUUGACUGGGGCGGUCUCCUCCUAAAGAGUAACGGAGGAGCACGAAGGUUGGCUAAUCCUGGUCGGACAUCAGGAGGUUAGUGCAAUGGCAUAAGCCAGCUUGACUGCGAGCGUGACGGCGCGAGCAGGUGCGAAAGCAGGUCAUAGUGAUCCGGUGGUUCUGAAUGGAAGGGCCAUCGCUCAACGGAUAAAAGGUACUCCGGGGAUAACAGGCUGAUACCGCCCAAGAGUUCAUAUCGACGGCGGUGUUUGGCACCUCGAUGUCGGCUCAUCACAUCCUGGGGCUGAAGUAGGUCCCAAGGGUAUGGCUGUUCGCCAUUUAAAGUGGUACGCGAGCUGGGUUUAGAACGUCGUGAGACAGUUCGGUCCCUAUCUGCCGUGGGCGCUGGAGAACUGAGGGGGGCUGCUCCUAGUACGAGAGGACCGGAGUGGACGCAUCACUGGUGUUCGGGUUGUCAUGCCAAUGGCACUGCCCGGUAGCUAAAUGCGGAAGAGAUAAGUGCUGAAAGCAUCUAAGCACGAAACUUGCCCCGAGAUGAGUUCUCCCUGAC
rnacentral:rRNA from 1 species